UCGAGCAGAGCAGACCGGACCAGGUCGCCGCUGCCGCCGCCGCUUCUGCUGCUGCUGCUCGCUUCUUCUUCUCCUGCCGCCGCUGCUGCUGCUGCCGGUGCUGGGGUGUCCUCUUCAAGUGGACGGAGCUCGGCUCGAAGCGCUGCUGCGCUCACACUCCUCUCCCUUCUCGUGCUCGCCGUGCAACAACUCCAACUACUGGAUCCGCACUGCAAAAGGGACCUGUGCAGGGGGUACUCCCACCGACGUAGGCCGAGCCGCAGCGACGCUGCAGACAGAAGCGAUGAGAGAGGAAAGUAACGGGAGCCCUUGUCGUGAACUUUUGAAAUUAACUGCACAAUAGGAAAAGAAAACACAAGCACCAAGCGCAGAUAUGAAGUACAGUGCAGAUUUCCUUCCAGGCAGAAUUUUUUGUUUCCUUCUCCCAAAUCACGUGGAGCCCCUUUACAGCUAAGCAGCAGCCACUUCUUUCUUUUCAGCUGCUUAUCUGCUGUUAUUGUAACCUGGUCACAUCUGUUGAGCCAGGGCUGUUGGCUCAGUAGAUGGAUGUUUCAACUGCAUCUGCAAUUAGCCUAUCUCUCUAGCUUUCAGUCUCUCUUUAAGCUCCAACAACACAAAUAAGAUCAAGUAAAAACGUUUGAAAAGCACAUCAGUCCAUUCUUCUGUAUCUAGAGGAAUGGACUGAUGAGCCAUUUAAGGUGCGCUGUGUCUAUAUGUUAUGGAUAUGGAUUAUGUUUUCAAUAACUGAUAAACAAGCUGAGCUCAGAGGACAAUGAGGUUCCCCAGAGCACUGGUUCGAGCUUGAAAGGUGGCAGGGUCCGCCACGUAUAAGCGAAGUGAAACAGUGUGAAAGUGAACUGUCCAGUGAAUUCAGUCAAUUUGUCAAUGAAGAUCCAUCGUUGUUUUCCCCAAAACUACAUAGUGCACCUUUUAAAUUAUUAAAAAUUCCAGGCUGGCCUUCAAAGCAUUAAAACUUUACGUCAUUGA